rnacentral:rRNA from 1 species
GACGAACGCUGGCGGCGUGCUUAACACAUGCAAGUCGAACGGGCCCGCUCUCUUUUUUGGGGGUGGGUUGAGUGGCGAACGGGGGAGUAUCACGUGAGUAACCUGCCCCCUGCUCCUGGAUAACUGCUUGAAAGGGCGGCUAAUACGGGGUGUGCCGGCUGGUCCGCAUGGGCCUGGUCGGGAUAGUUUCAUCUUCGGGUGUUUCGGUGGGGGAUGGGCUCGCGGCCUAUCAGCUUGUUGGUGGGGUGUUGGCCCACCAAGGCGGUGACGGGUAGCCGGCCUGGGAGGGUGGGCAGCCGGGCUGGGAGUGAGACACGGCCCAGACUCGGGCGGGAGGCAGCGGUGGGGGGUAUUGCACAGUGGGCGGAAGCCUGAGGCAGCGACGUCGCGUGAGGGAGGGAGGCCGUCGGGUUGUGACCCUCUUUCGGCGGGGGUGAAGGCCCUGUCCGUUGCGGCGGGGUUGACGGUAGCCGGGGAUGAAGCGCCGGCUAACUACGUG